UACGUAGGCAGCAAGCGUUGUUCGGAAUUACUGGGCGUAAAGAGUUCGUAGGCGGUGCGGCAAGUUCGGUGUGAAAUCUCCCGGCUCAACUGGGAGGGUGCGCUAAAUACUGCCGUGCUCGAGUAUAGGAGAGGUAAGCGGAAUUCCUGGUGUAGCGGUGAAAUGCGUAGAUAUCAGGAGGAACACCUGUGGUGUAGACGGCUUACUGGACUAUAACUGACGCUGAGGAACGAAAGCGUGGGUAGCAAACAGGAUUAGAUACCCUGGUAGUCCACGCCCUAAACGAUGCAUACUUGGUGUGAGCCAUUCACUUGGUUCGUGCCGUAGCUAACGCGUUAAGUAUGCCGCCUGGGGAGUACGGUCGCAAGGCUGAA
rnacentral:rRNA from 1 species